UACGUAGGGUGCAAGCGUUGUCCGGAAUCAUUGGGCGUAAAGAGCGUGUAGGCGGCUUGAUAAGUCGGCUGUGAAAGUCGGGGGCUCAACCCUCGAAUGCCGGCCGAUACUGUCAAGCUAGAGUCCGGUAGAGGCGAGUGGAAUUCCUGGUGUAGCGGUGAAAUGCGCAGAUAUCAGGAGGAACACCGAUGGCGAAGGCAGCUCGCUGGGACGUAACUGACGCUGAGACGCGAAAGCGUGGGGAGCAAACAGG
rnacentral:rRNA from 1 species